CUACGGGGCGCUCCAGUGGGGAAUAUUGGGCAAUGGGCGCAAGCCUGACCCAGCAACGCCGCGUGAGGGAAGAAGGUUCUCGGAUUGUAAACCUCUGUCCUUGGGGACGAAGAAAGUGACGGUACCCGAGGAGGAAGCUCCGGCUAACUACGUGCCAGCAGCCGCGGUAAUACGUAGGGAGCAAGCGUUGUCCGGAAUUACUGGGCGUAAAGGGUGCGUAGGCGGCAUAUUAAGUCAGGUGUGAAAUAUUCGGGCUCAACCCGAAGGGUGCAUUUGAAACUGGUAUGCUUGAGUGUGAGAGAGGAAAGUGGAAUUCCUAGUGUAGCGGUGAAAUGCGUAGAUAUUAGGAGGAACACCAGUGGCGAAGGCGACUUUCUGGCUCAUAACUGACGCUGAGGCACGAAAGCGUGGGUAGCAAACAGGAUUAGAUACCCCCGUAGUC
rnacentral:rRNA from 1 species